ACUGCUCAGUAACACGUGGCUAACCUGCCCUUGGGACCAGAAUACCCCCGGGAAACUGGGGCUAAUUCUCGAUAGGUGAAGAACUCUGGAAUGAGUCUUCGCUUAAAAGAGGCUGGGGUUAUGCUCUCCAGUUUCGCCCAAGGAUGGGGCCGCGACCGAUCAGGUUGUUGGUGAGGUAAUGGCUCACCAAGCCUUUUACCGGUGCGGGCCGUGAGAGCGGGAGCCCGGAGAUGGGCACUGAGACAAGGGCCCAGGCCCUACGGGGCGCAGCAGUCGCGAAAACUUUGCAAUAAGCGAAAGCUUGACAGGGCUAUCCCGAGUGCCAUCCGCUGAGGAAGGCUUUUACCCAGUCUAGAACGCUGGGGGAAUAAGGAGAGGGCAAGUCUGGUGUCAGCCGCCGCGGUAAUACCAGCUCUCCGAGUGGUGUGGAUGUUUAUUGGGCCUAAAGCAUCCGUAGCUGGCUAGGUUAGUCCCCUGUUAAAUCCACCGAAUUAAUCGUUGGAUUGCGGGGGAUACUGCUUGGCUAGGGGACGAGAGAGGCAGACGGUAUUUCCGGGGUAGGGGUGAAAUCCUAUAAUCCCGGGAAGACCACCAGUGGCGAAGGCUGUCUGCUAGAACGCGCCCGACGGUGAGGGAUGAAAGCUGGGGGAGCGAACCGGAUUAGAUACCCGGGUAGUCCCAGCUGUAAACGAUGCAGACUAGGUGUUUGGACGGCCACGUGCCGUUCUAGUGCCGCAGGGAAGCUGUUAAGUCUGCCGCCUGGGGAGUACGAUCGCAAGAUUGAAACUUAAAGGAAUUGGCGGGGGAGCAC
rnacentral:rRNA from 1 species